rnacentral:rRNA from 1 species
CCUACGGGCGGCAGCAGUGGGGAAUAUUGCACAAUGGGGGAAACCCUGAUGCAGCGACGCCGCGUGAGUGAAGAAGUAUUUCGGUAUGUAAAGCUCUAUCAGCAGGGAAGAAGAAAGACGGUACUGUACCAAAAGGCCCCGGCUAACUACGUGCCAGCAGCCGCGGUAAUCCGGAGGGGGCAAGCUUUAUCCGGAUUUACUGGGUGUAAGGGGAGCUUAGCCGGCAGGGGAGGUCUGGGGUUAAAGUCAGGGGCCCAAACCCUGGACUGGUCUGGAAACUGUCCGUCUGGAGUGCAGGAGAGGUAAGUGGAAUUCGUGGUGUAGCGGUGAAAUGCGUAGAUAUCACGAAGAACACCAGUGGCGAAGGCAGCUUACUGGACUGUAACUGACGCUGAGGCUCGAAAGCGUGGGUAGCAAACAGGAUUAGAUACCCGAGUAGUC